rnacentral:rRNA from 1 species
UGGGGGAUAUUGCACAAUGGGCGAAAGCCUGAUGCAGCGACGCCGCGUGGGGGAUGAAGGCCUUCGGGUUGUAACCUUCUUUUGCUCUGAACAAGGCAUGCUAAUGGGUGUGUUGAGUGUAGGGGUUGAUUAGCGCCGGCUAACUACGUGCCAGCAGCCGCGGUAAUACGUAGGGCGCGAGCGUUGUCCGGAAUUAUUGGGCGUAAAGGGCUUGUAGGUGGCUGGUUGCGUCUGUCGUGAAAGCUCAUGGCUUAACUGUGGGUUUGCGGUGGGUACGGGCUGGCUUGAGUGCAGUAGGGGAGGCUGGAAUUCCUGGUGUAGCGGGGGAAUGCGCAGAUAUCAGGAGGAAUACCGGUGGCGAAGGCGGGUCUCUGGGCUGUUACUGACACUGAGGAGCGAAAGCAGGGGGAGAGAACAGG